CGGGAUGUAGCGCAGCCCGGUAGCGCGCGUCGUUCGGGACGACGAGGCCGCAGGUUCAAAUCCUGUCAUCCCGA
rnacentral:tRNA from 2 species